rnacentral:piRNA from 1 species
UAAUCGUUUUAACUGUUUGCUUGGCU